rnacentral:RNase_P_RNA from 2 species
UAAGUUGACCAGACAGUCGCUAUAUAGUUUUCUAUGUAGAGGAAAGUCCGGGCUCCAAAGAGCAGAGUGAUGGCUAACAGCCAUACGCCGUAAGGUGAGGAACAGGGCCACAGAGACGAGCGUAUUAAGUUACGGUGAAACGCGGUAACCUCCACUCGGAGCAAGGCCAAAUAGGGUAGCAUUAACAUUGCUCGUGUUGCUACCGGGUAGGCUGCUUGAGCAUAUAAGUAAUUGUAUGCCUAGAUGAAUGACUGUCCCAGACAGAACCCGGCUUAUCGGUCAACUUAAAAA